ACCAUCUCGACGGCAGGAGCACGCUCAAGAGGCGCUCCGACCUCAAGGACCACCGCUCAAACAACAUCUACAUCAGCCGCCAGAGCCUGUCAAGGACGAAACCACGAGAGCGGCCUUACGAGUCUCUCAUGGUGAACAUGAACCCGUACCCAGCGGACGGCACCACAACGUCGACGCUCUCUAGAAAGGACCAGGAAGACAUUCAAGUGUGACCCUUGGACGGACUUUGAACUUCGGCAGCUGCUCCUUCUGCUUCAUCCCGCGGUUCACUCAGAACUCUGUGCUCACAGAAACAGUCGCCUAAUGAACUCGACGCACCCGUUGAGUGAAGUGCAGCGUUCGGGUUCCAUCCCCCAGUGGCACAAAUCAUCAUCCGGCUUCGGUUUGCUCCGUCCUUGGGGGUGGACAACAAAAACAACAUACGACUUCCCUUAACGGCACCAGAAAAUCAUUCUCUGAUGCCAUUUGCUGCGCAAUGCCGCAGGAGAAACGCAAACAUUCUCCGAUCUUUUUUUUUCAGGAUAACGUUGGUAAUCGCAGGAAUCCUUGGACAUAUAGCGGUGUUUGUGUUUCAGAGAUGUGCUUAGUUAUGUUAGUGAACUAACGUGCAACAGGCCAUUCAACGCAUACAGGGAAACAAGUGUAAUCCACCAGAGAUCGUUCAGGCGAACGCAAGUUCCCAUAAAGAUAAGUGUUUCCCAGAUACAAAUGUUCUUGUCAUUCGUUCUCCAUUCGAGCAAAAUAUGACGAAACUUUCCCCACAACAAAAAAAAAAGAAAUUAAGAAGUCGAACAGAAGAAUAUACCGCGAUGGUGCAGAAUUUGGAAGGAAUCAAAACUGUUUAUCACAUAAAGCAUCUCGCGUUGGUCGUACUGCUCGAUUCGAGUCAUAUGCCUCUUCCGCGCAAAAAAAAAAAA